ACCACCACAGCCAGGCCCACUCAGUGGGCCACACCUAUCCGGCACCCAAUGAUACAUAAGUGGGUUUUGGGUUGCAGUUUGGGCACUCGGUCUCUAAAAGGUUCUCCAUCACUGAUAUAGUUCAUCUAUAUUGAGAAAGCUUUCGCCAAAAAGUAUUUAUGUUUAACAAGUGCCUGCCACAGUAAGUUUUUGCACAUUACACUGAAGAUGAAGGCUCUAGCUGUGGUUAUUUAGAAAGCUGUCGGUGCAACCCUGUGCCUUGUAAAUCACGACAUCUGUUUAAUUUUCUCUUUUAAAGUUUGGUUUAGUAGCCAAAUAAUUUCUUAAAUAUAGGGAAGUAAAAAACUUGAUCACACAGCAGUGUCAAUCACAGAAAACCAACUAUGUAGAUCAGCAUAGAUCAGACAUGUCAAACUCGCGAUGUCACAUGAUGUCACACGACGUAUCAGAACUUUUUCCCCAUUGCCUGCAAUGGAAUGGGUGCAGUUUCCUCGUGAUGCGUCUGGCCCAUGGGCUGGCAGUUUGACAGCCCUGGCAUAGAUAAUACCAACUAUCAUUUGUAUAGCAAAUGAUACAUUUGUUAAGUAUCAUGUCUGAAAAGGGUUCUGUAACAUCAGUAACUGACUUAUUGGUUGGAUUCCCGAGCAAUUGCACUAAAUUGGUUGCAAUUUGCACUAAAACAAUGCAGACUAGGGGCUCUGGGUCCUAAAGUCCAUACAUCUGGAGGGCACAGAGGUUGGGUCAGGAUGAAAGAGCCAGGCCACAGAAUGAUUGAAAAGUCGCUCUCUUCUUAAAGCUAACAUCUGGAGAAUUCAAACAUUCCUCUCCUCAGUCUUCCUGCUGAAGCAGAUACUCAAACUGUAGACCUCAGUUGAGGCUUUUCAGUGUCAUAGGGAUGAUAAUCUUAGCAUCGGUCUACUGUCUUGUUCCUUACAUGCCAAAAAUCUUCAUUAAUGAGUUGGGGGGGGGGGGAGAAUGGAGGGGAAAUGUGAGACAAGAAACUAAUGCUAAACUGAAAAGUAAAAAAAAAAAAUCUCCUGUUUUACCCCAGUAAAAAAAAAAAUCUCCUGUUUUACCCCAGUAAAAAAAAAAAUCUCCUGUUUUACCCCAAUAUGCUCAGAAGCUUUCCUUCUGAGCAUAUUAGCAAUUCACUGAAGCUCCAAGGGAGAUCAGGCUAGGUUCCUCUCUGCUGGUCUUCAGAAAAAUUCCCAAACACUUAGUAUUUCCGGGGGAAUGAGGGGCAUUCUCAUGUUUUAAGCUGUGAGCCGUUUUAUAUUUUCUACUCUGUUGUUUCUGCCUGGUUUUCAACAGGAUGUUUUAUGGCAUUUUAAUGUGUGUGUGUGAGAGAGUUUAUAAAUGUAAAUAAAUACGUAGCCGUAGAAGUCCAGUGAGUUCUGUUCUGGAUAUAUUAGAUAAAGAGUUUACCAUCAGUUUUGUGCAGAGAGGCUACAAAAUUUUUUCUUCUUUUUCAUCCACAGGGGUAAAAGUCUUCCGCAGUAGAUUUCACCCUGUUAUGUAGCUGUUGGUGAUAAGAGUCUUAUUCUGCCUUUAAAAAACAAAACAGCUGAAGUUGUUAACUUACUGGCCUGUCCUUUAAGGAAGUAGGGCAAAGCACAGAGGCCCGGUAUGGGAUAACUGAGAACUUAGUCAUGUAAGUAGAAGGGGAAUUUACCUAUUAGGAAUAGAAUGUUCUGUGCAUCUUUCUCUGCUGUUUACGCAGAUGCUGUGGGCACUCCCACAGCAGAGGAAACCACAAUCUUUAAUGUGUUAAAUUGCUUAGAAAUCGACAUCUUAAUCCAUUGGACUGAAGUGUAUAAGAAUAAAAGUCCAGUUCUAAAAUCAGAAUCAUCAGUUGCACAGGGAGAAAAAUUAAGAGAUCUGUGGAUUUAUCCAAGUUGGAUUAAACAAUCUGUGGAUCCCAACCAGGUACCGUAGAAUCCUGCAGCUACGUUCCACUGAGCAGUUUUGAAAGCAUCACUGGACUAUGGGCAAGAUUCCUCCUUGGUACCAGAUGCUGUGUGGACAUGCUAUUAAUAAGCUUCAAGAAUGGAUCGAUUCAGUUUUUUUCUCCUUCCAACUCACGAUGUCAUCCUGAACAAAAGCAUUGUCAACUCACACUGAGGAAAAGAUUUCGCCCAGGAAAUAGCUACGUUGUGGUUUCUUAGGCAACUACCUACAAAAUCAUUUUCAAAAGACAGAAGGCUGUUAUAAAAGGCAACACAUUGUACAGAAUUACUUCGUUGUUGUUCAUAUUUGUUUUGCUUCCUGUCAAAAACAUGUUCAUUUUGGGCACUUAAACUCCCAUUAAAAUCCUUUAAAACUUUGGGAUUCAUGGAUCAUUGGAUGAAAAGUUGACCGGAAUCUCAGUGAAUGAUCAAAGACUGCGUGAUCUUGCAGGAACAAGAAUACCUCCUAAUCACCUUAAUUCCUCCCCCAACUUCAUUGGUGAGCAACCUUGAGACAAAAAUGACCUCUAGUCCACGAUUAUAUAUCUAUUCCAACUGGGCAUUUCUUUAAUCUACCUUGUUGAUUUUCUCCAAUAACAGUGCCAGGAGUAGGAAAUUCAUUCUAGAAUUCUACCACUUUUGCAAUUCAGAAGUUUAUCCUAAUGACCAUGCUUAAAACUUUUGGCCACCACCUGGGUCUACUGUUUCUUUUCUGCAAUAGACGCAUAUAUUAUUCAUGUACUAAAAUCUUUUAAGUCAGCCCAUCAGUUAUUUAAUUUUUUUUUCUCAGUCAUCCAUACUGAACGGAUGGGUUCUUAGACUUACCUUUAAAAAAGCAUUGUUGUAGCUCAGGAGUGCGUAUCACCAUAUAAUGCUGCUCACCCUAGAGAUGUAUCCAGCUGUGUUGUUACCUUUAUGUAAAAGAAGAUAUAGCUGUCCAGUGGAACAAGUAUCCUGUUUGUAGUUUGAAGGAGAGAUGCCACCAUUUGGAGUAUGAAAAAGCAGAACUUUUUAACUCAGAAGAUAGAGAUGAGAGCCAUCAGUUUUGGUCACCUUGUAAACGCUGAUUCAGGAGCCUUCCAGCAGCAGAUGAAAGAAAGCUGCAACGUUCCUGACUGCAAAUGGAUUUGACUCGUAACUACCACCUUGUUGAGGACUAUAUGAGAUUUUGGCAGCUGAACCCCAGUGGUGUGAGUCUUCUCAGGAGGGUGUCUUGAACCCAACGAUGCUUGUUACAAAGAUUCCAAGACACAAUUACUGGCAGUGCUUUGAGAUCAGCCAUGUUUGGAUAACGGCCGCCCCCUGCUGGAACAUAACUUAAAUUAUACUCGGAGAAAUCAAGAGGAUGAGAAACAGAGAGAGAUGAAGGACAUGAUUCGGGGUUAAAUCUAAUGCUGCCUUGUGAUUCAGGAGCUUAGUAAAAAGGUUGCAAGAGAAGAAAUGAAAAAAAAGAACAUUUCAAGAUAGGAGAUGGAGGGAAAGGCAGCAUCUGAAGGAUUAAUUCAAAAAAUAAAAAAUAAAUCAAUGCUGCGACAUUCACUAUUAUUAGGUGGAUGUCAGAUUUAGAUACUUCAAAGCUUAAAUAAAGCCUUUUGGCCUUUGGUCAAGGAAGGACCUUUUGAUUACAGAAUGCAGAGCAGAAAAUCUUCCAUGUUGCUGUUCGGCAACGGAUGACAACCCUUUGGCCCCGAGUCUCAGACUUACAUCCCGGAAGUAGUCCGUGCCAAUUCCAUGCCGUUGCAAAGGAAACCGCGUGGAGAAGUCACCAGGAGUUGAGCAAAACACAAAAGAGCUUUGCCUUUUUUUAUAUUGGGGGGUCCUGUGGAGGCUCGCUCUUGAGGCUCACCUCACGUAGCCCUCUGGCUUCAAGAUGAUCAUUUUUAUCAUUUGCUGAGGAAAUACCUUCAGGGUGGUCUCCAUCUCUGAACCAACUACGACAAGCAAGAGGAUCCAACAGGAAGCCUGUGUUUUCUUUUUACAAAUGGGAGGAAGACUUUAUUUGCAUUUUUUUUUUGUUUUGUUUUGGUCCUCUGGAGGAGGAACUUGAGGGAAAGCAGCAUCAGCAAACUCCACGGUGCCUCCUGGCCUGGGGCAGACCCUCUUCUCCUUGCGUGAUCUGGGCCCCUCACUUGACUUGGCUGGCUGUCGGCAGCGCCUUUUCGCCCCCAGAGAGAAUGCAGAGCAGAAAAUCUUCCAUGUUGCUGUUCGACAACGGAUGACAACCCUUUGGCCCCGAGUCUCAGACUUACAUCCCGGAAGUAGUCCGUGCCAAUUCCAUGCCGUUGCAAAGGAAACCGCGUGGAGAAGUCACCAGGAGUUGAGCAAAACACAAAAGAGCUUUGCCUUUUUUUAUAUUGGGGGGUCCUGUGGAGGCUCGCUCUUGAGGCUCACCUCACAUAGCCCUCUGGCUUCAAGAUGAUCAUUUCCAGUUCAGCUUUCCGAGUGCUCCUGAAAUCCCUGGAACCUCGAGUUACACAUUUUGGGGUUAGAUACCAAGAGGGGCAACACGUUGGCAGUGCCGUGGCUCAGCAGUUGAAAGAUAAAUAACUGCUCGGUGGGUGGGGAUUUCAGAUCUGAGCAUGAUGUCACGGUUCCGACUAAUGAAACACUUCAAAGAACUUCCAGGCAUUUUAUCCUAAAAAAGUCUUUUUAUUGGUGUGACAAAAAUGUCGGCACAGGCAUGAAGAAAGGAAUGCUGAGAUCUGAAAUCCCCACCCACCGAGCAGUUAUUUUGCUAGCAUUUCCCUCCCCUAUUUUGCUGUCACGAUGUACGUUCCCCAAUUAGUUUGAAGGGCAAAGGUUCCCUUCCGUCUUCUUUCGCGGGCUUUUCCCUCCUCCCUCUCUCUCCUCUGAAUUAACUCUAAAAGUACCAGGCAGUUCAGCAUAUUUUGUCAAAGCAAGAAUAUACGAUAUUAGCAGCGUUGACAGUCAGUUGGAAAGCCACGAGACCCGCGCACCACGCCAGGGGGUGGGCUCCCGUUCCUCGCCCCAACUCCUGCCGUUCGAAAGCACGCAAAUGCGAGUAGGUAAAUAGGUACCACUUCCCAGUGGGAAAGUAAGAGCAUUCCCAAGGCCUUUGGCAUGUAACCACGCUGGCGACGUGACUGUGGAAACCUCCUCAGACAGCAGAUGGAGGUGAGCACUGCCCCCUAUAGUCAGAGUAAAAAUCCAUAAGGGCUCCUUUACUAUUUUUUCCCGUGGCACGCUUACGAAUUUACGCAGACUUAAGGCAGGUUGUUGAGUGUGGAAAACCGGCGAGGUUGACAGCUUUUUAUUUCUUCCGUGUGUUUUCGCUCUUGCAGCUUCUUUCGCCCUGAAAGUGGUUAAAUGUUUCCUACAACAGGCUCAGAGCUAUAUUUUGGCUGCUUCAAGAAAAGGGCCCCGGGGGAAAGGAACACGGCUUUCUCCUGAGGAGUCUUUACCAUCUCAGCUUCGUCGAAAUGAAAAAAGGAAACCGCCAGCGUACGUUAAUCUCCGCCUUUAAUAACGCCUUAGCUACCAGGAGGCCUCGUCUGGAGCUUCUUCAGGAAUCUGGUUUCAUAUGGUGGUUUAGAUUUAAGUACACAAGGUCUAGCACCAUUUGAAAUCAGUGUUUUUGGGGGAAGAACGGCUGCGCGUUGACCCGUUUCGGAGAGUCCACCUGUUGCUUCUGAUAAAAGCUUCUGUGACCGCCUCAUUUACACGGAUUUAUGGCCUCUUUUCAUGCACGGCCUCACCAGGAAAACCGAGAUCACAAAGCCAGGUUACUUAGACAAUUUGAAGCGAACCUCUCCCUUGCAGAAAUAUACCUGGCUUCUUGGGCAAGAUACUGGGCUUGGAAGUGUGUGUGUGUGUGUGUGUGUGUGUGUGUGUGUGUGUGUGUGUGUGUGUGCAUACUAUGAGAAUGUCAUUGACAGAUUGCCAAUAGGAGACAUUUAGAGCUGGUUGUAAGAGAGUUUUAAUAAGUUGACUCGGCAGAAAACCCCUUUUCCAGAAUGGUUUCUGUGCCAGCUUGUUACCUUUUUAAAUUAAGUUAGCAAAUAUUUAAGAAUUGAUGUUCCAGAGCAGCGGUAGGCAACCUGGGCUCUUUUAUGACUCGUGGACUUCAACUCCCAGAAUUCCUGAGCCAGCCAUGCUGAGGGGAAAUGGAGAGGUUUCCAAGCU